rnacentral:lncRNA from 9 species
AUAAAGGGUUGUUUUGAAUAACUCAAAAGAAAUACUAUUUACAGAAUUCCCGUUGUGGCGCAGUAGAAACGAAUCCGACUAUGAACCAUGAGGAUCUUUAACACAGGUAAACAACUAAAGACUCAUAGGCAUCUCUGGAAAUGAAUCAACCUACUGUGCUCAUUCUCAAAACUCCAACCCACUCCUGCUUCUCUCAAUCCAUGAUCCUCCACCAACCAACUUCCAAUAACUCCUAGUUUUCUGCACACUGGGUUAUAAAGUUGCUUUUGCUGAAACAAUUCUCUGGACCCAACAAAAACUAAACAUUAAACUCUGGUUUCAAAGACAUUUCUCUUUACCACAUAUCCACAAUAAAACUGCCCCUUCCUUGGCACAAAUAUACAUCCACACACUAAGUUCCUGUGUUUCCCUUUCCUCCAAAUACGUCCCCUUCUCUCGGCUCCCUUUCUCUGCCAUCUCUGCUCCUUCUGUGAGAGCAACGGUAGCAUGCAACUGGAGGAUCUGUAAGCCCAGGCUGUGCGGGAGAAAGAAGCGGUAGGGAGCCCAGGGCUCCCUCCAGCCAGACAAGAAUAUCAAUGCUGCAGGAGAAAAAAAUCGGUGAGAUGGCUAACAUGGAAAUGACAGCUUUCCUGUUGAGAGACGACGACAGUGCACUAGCAGGAGACAAGGGUCCUCUGGCUCUAUCCUCACGGCCUACCACACAAAGAUGUGCAACAGGACAAAAAGCAUACACACGGCCAUCUAUCCUGAGCCCAGACAGAGGCCAAUGGGGAACGCUGAAGGAGCGAGCACAGUACCUAUUUAUUUUAGAAAACGAGAGGACACAGCAAACUAGAGUCAUAAGAACACCCUUACCUGUUUCUUCAUCUAUUUUGAAAACACCAACACCGGAACCAUCUCGAAUGGAAUAGUGGAUCUCCCCAUCUCUUCCUGUGUCCUCAUCAUGAGCUGAUACCUUCAUCACCGAUGAACCAAUCGGGACAUUUUCUUUCACGGCACCCUUCUCCACAAAGCUGGGAAACACGGGUGGGUGUAAGUUCUCAUUCACAUCGAUGACCUCGACUUCAACGUAGCAAGUGGAAGACAGAGAAAUGGGCUUGCCUUUGUCUUUGGCCCUCACAGUGAGAUUAUAUACUUGCUUCUUCUCAAAGUCCAACUGCUGUACGAUUCUAACUGCUCCACUGAGCUUAUCCACCUCAAAGUUUCCUUCUCCAGCGUCCAGAAGACUAUACCUCACUUGACUAGACUGACCUAAAUCAGGGUCAUAAGCCUCUAACCACAUGAUUAUGGUUCCUUCUGGAAGGUCCUCACGAACUUUCACACGGUAAUUAGGGGGAAUGAACUUGGGUGGGUUGUCAUUAACAUCCUCUAAUGAUACUUUCAGAAGCACUGUGGAAAGCAGCUGGGGUUCUUCUCGGGCUUGGUCCCUGGCUUCAAUCUUUAAGUAAUGCACGUGCUGCUCUUCUCGAUCCAAGGAGUUCACAAUUUUAACCACUCCCGUCAUGCUGUCGAUUGAAAAUUUAUCUGUGUCUGUAAGAAUAGAGUACAUCACAUGUCCAUUUGGCCCCAGGUCUUUAUCUGUGGCUUCAACCUGGAUGAUUUCACUAUUUAUCUCUUUGUCUUCACUCACUUCAACAAAAUAGCUCUCCUGUAAAAACUCAGGUGGAUUAUCAUUGGCGUCCAGAACUCUGAUCUCCAGAAGACGCCAGGCAGCCUUCUGGGGUAGACCAAGGUCAGACACUGUAAUAUUCAGGGUGUAUCUGUCUGUGGUUUCACGGUCAAGUGGAGAUAAAAUUUUGAGCACUCCAGUCUCCAUAUCAAUAAUGAAGCAGCUAUCCUCAUUUCCUCCGGAAAUAGCAUAGACCAGUUUCCCGUUGAAGCCAGUGUCAAGGUCAGUAGCAUUCAUGAAAAUUACGCUGGAACCCACAGGACGGUUUUCCUUUACCUCAAUACCAGCUGGAAGAGUACUUCGAAACUGUGGUGCAUGAGCAUUGACAGAGUGCGAAUCAAAGAAAACAUCCUCGGCCUCUCCCUGACUGUGUAAUUUAUUUGCCUGCAGGAGUUUCUCCGCCAGCAUUUUGGCCACACCAGUCUCUUCACAUUGCAGGUUUACGGGCUUGCGAAGGGCAGCCACAGUUAUGUUGAUGUACAACGGUGUGGCAAAAUUCUCUCCAUCUGUGGCUGUAAUUCUCAGACUGUGAAAGGACACCUUUGCCCCGAAGCCAUCCAUGAGCGACUGCUUUAAUGACAGCACCCCAGAGGUGGGGUUUAAGCUAAACAAAUCCAGCUCGUUUCCAGCUUCAAUCUGAUAGCGCACCAACUGGAGUUCAUCGGCGUCGAUAGCAGAAACGGUGGUUAUUUGUUCCCCCACGCCUAGAUCCCUGGGAAUUGUUCCUUCACAAUUUAUCUUCUCAAACAAGGGUGUGUUGUCGUUCAAGUUAUUGAGAGUAACGGUGGCAAGGAUCUCGACCUCCCGGCGGUACGGCAAGCCCCAGUCCGACGCCCGAAUCCUUAGAGUGUAAACCCGAGGCAUGAGCUCAUAGUCCAAGUUUUCCGAAGUACUCACGGCACCGCUGAAGUGGUCAAUCACAAAUGGCACAUGAUUUACGUUUGCAAUACUGUAGGUCACAUACCCAUUCUCUCCCUCGUCAGGGUCUACGGCACUCACACUCAUGACCGUAGUGCCAAUGGGCACAUUCUCGUCAAAAGAUGCUCUGUAGGCUGUCUGCGUAAAUUCAGGGGGGUGGCUGUUGGCACUUAACACCUUAACCAAGACUCUGGUUGAGGCCUUUCUGUCACUUGUUGUCACUUCGAGUUCAAAAUGGGACGCCUGCUGUCGUUUAAUUGGUUCUAAAAUGGAAAUGAGACCCGUGUUGGGAUUUAUACUGAAUUUAGCUUUGCCAGGCGUACUUUUAAAGACAUACCUCAGGUGAGAAUAGCUCGGUGUGGCUUUUACCAUGACCACGGGUGUGCUGGAAGGCGCGAAUUCGCUGAUUUCUGCUCUGUAAACCUCCUUUUCAAACCUGACUGGCCCAGCUUUGAACUGUGGCGAAGCCACAUGAAUGACUUUCACCGAAGAGAACUGGGGAGGAGUUCCUUUAUCUUUGGCCUGGAGCGUCAGGUUGUAGCCGAAAGGAUGACUGUCCCAAUCAAUGCCGCCGACGGCCUUGAGUUUAUAUUCUUUGCUCCCUGGAGAGGCCCUCACUGUUCUGAACUGCUGAAGGAGGUCUCCUGCCACAAUGCUUAAGGAAGCGAUUUCCCCGUUGGCACCCUGAUCACAGUCCUCCACGGUGACGAUGGCGUACGUCGGGUCCUUGUCCAGUUCCGAGGGGGAUAACGUCACUGCUGUUAUCACAGGGGGGCACGCGUUGGCCUGCUCUAUGUGAACUGUGAGCUUGGCCAUGCUGCUGAUACCACUGCUCCCGUACAACUUCAUGCCACGGUCCACAGCCAGAAUUUCCAGCUCAUAGAGCUUGGCCUCGGUGUAGUCAAGUCUACCGGUUAAAACGACGGCACCACUGGUGGGAUGGAUAGCAAACAUGUCUGUUCGGUCUUUAAAACUGUAGUAAAAUUCUCCAUUGGUGCCUAUGUCUGCAUCUGUGGCACUGACUCUUGCAAUACUGGUCCUUAUGGCUGUGUUUUCAGGUAAAGAAACGCUGUACGAGGUGGGGGAGAACAAUGGUCUCAGGUCAUUUGUAUCCAGCACUUGCACCCUGACCUUUGUUCGGGCUUCAGCAUUCGUAGUUUUUUCAACUGCUUUGACUAUCAAUGUGUAAUGGUCUUUCACUUCUCUGUUAAGAAUAGCUGUAUUUCCUCCUUUGGUCCUUAUUCUCAGAAAGCAAAAGUCUCCAAGAAUGUACUCCUCCGCUUUGAAGAGGUUUUCGUUGUCUCCUGAGACAAUUUUGUACCGUAACUCCCACAGUGGAUUUGUAAUGUAAAUACCCAUCUUUACAGGGUGCCCAACAUAGGUUUUUGCUGCAGAGUUUUCGUGUACCGUGACGUUGUACUGGAAAUGUGUAAACUGUAUAGGACUGUGGUCAAGGGUUUGGCUUCCAUCACUGUCUCUGAAAUGUUGGAGGAGGAGGAGGAGCAGAAGCAGACGCGAGGCCAAAUGCCUCCCCAUCGCUUACUUCGAGGGAACCUGAAACAGAAGAAAACAAGGAUCAGCACUUCAGGUUUUCUUUUCUUUUCUUUUUUUUUUUUUUCUAUUUUCUAACGUAAGUAUCAACUCUCUAACAUUUCUAGAAUUACUAAGUUUAAGAACGAUCUUUU